GCACCUAUAGCUCAGCUGGAUAGAGUGUCUGUUUGCGGAACAGAAGGUCACAGGUUCGAACCCUGUUAGGUGUA
rnacentral:tRNA from 1 species